rnacentral:lncRNA from 1 species
UGAUUCACAUACAAUUUUAAGAAUGCCACCAUACAAUAGACCACCAAAUUUCUAACAUUUAUUUACAACUGUAAACUUGUUAUAGAAAAAUAUUUAUUGAAUAAAAGUAUAAUGCUUUAUUAUUUGCAAUUUUUACAAUUGACAAUGCAUGGAGUUACAUACGUAGUUCAUUACCGGGUGAAGUUUUCAGGAUCUCUUUAUGAUACAAAUAUUGCACUGAUGUUAUUGGGAGAAGUGCUAAGCUCCGCUUUAUAAGAUAUGGAGAUCGAACUGUCAAAAGUUUCAACAGUUUAGUUAGAGCUUAAGUUGUAUCUCAGAAUAAAAAAAUAUCUGUACUGCUACAACAAUUACAUAUUUGAAACCAUGGAUUGAAUCUAAAAUCAUUCAAUUUAAAACAACGAAAAGUAAUUGCAAAAUUUUCAAACAAGAUGUCCUACAGAUAACAACUACUACGAUGUGUUAACGAACUUGACUACCUUUGAGGGUGUGUUGACGAGCUUGACUACCCUUGAAGGUGUAACGAGCUUGAAAAAUCCUUGAGGGUGUGUUGACGAGCUUGACUACCAUUGAGGGUGUGUUGACGAGCUUGACUACCCUUGAAGGUGUAACGAGCUUGAAUAAUCCUUGAGGGUGUGUUGACGAGCUUGACUAUCAUUGAGGGUGUGUUGACGAGCUUGAAUACCCUUGAAGGUGUAACGAGCUUGAAUAAUCCUUGAGGGUGUAUUAACGAGCUUGAAUAAUCCUUGAGGGUGUAUUAACGAACUUGACUAUACCCUUGAUGGUGUGUUGACGAGCUUGGCUGCCCUUGAGGGUGUGUUAACGAGUUUGACUACCCUAAAGUGUAUCUUGACGAGAUUGACUACCCUUGAAGGUGUGUUAGCGAGCUUGGCUACCCAUAGGCGGAUCCAGGGGGGACCUGGGGGGAAAAUUUGGUUGAUUAUAUAGGGAAUCAUUGAAGCAUGACUGGAGCGGCCCCCCCCCUUUAGGUCAGUCAGCGGGUCCCCCUUAGGAAAAGUUCUGGAUCCGCCACUGCUACCCAUUAGGGUCUCGCAUAGUAUUAGAGUACAAAUGAAUACUUGAAGUUGUCCCAGUAAUGGACUGCUGGUCAUACAUGGAGGUAAAUGGUUAUACAGUAUAAAAGUAGAAUUAUUGGUAUGUUUGUGUAAAAUAUAAAUAUGCAUAUUUGAAUGUGUUUGCUUCAAGCUUGAAUAUUAUGAUCCUGGUCAUGCUUUGUAUGUUUGGUUCUCUAAACCUUUUGACAGCCAUAUUAUAGAACUGAUAAACAUUAUUAUUGAAAUAUAUGAAAAUAUUUUGAAAAAAGUCAUGCUAGCUGUUAACAUAUAGGUGGAUCCUUACUUUAUAGAAAAGAUAUACAAUAUUAA